CAGUAGCCACGGUAAUACAGAGGGUGCGAGCGUUAAUCGGAUUUACUGGGCGUAAAGCGUGCGUAGGCGGCUUCUUAAGUCGGAUGUGAAAUCCCUGAGCUUAACUUAGGAAUUGCAUUCGAUACUGGGAAGCUAGAGUAUGGGAGAGGAUGGUAGAAUUCCAGGUGUAGCGGUGAAAUGCGUAGAGAUCUGGAGGAAUACCGAUGGCGAAGGCAGCCAUCUGGCCUAAUACUGACGCUGAGGUACGAAAGCAUGGGGAGCAAACAGGAUUAGAUAUCCCAGUAGUCCCUGUCUCUUAUAA
rnacentral:rRNA from 1 species